GUGGCCCCAAAGCUCCAAAGAGAAUGGUUGUUGCCUCCUCCACAUGCUCACCCAAUGUACAAAUUCUGUUGAACCGGAUCAACUGGGAUUUAAUUAUCCCUCUAAAGGUGUCCAAUGUACUGGGUCCCGUGGCAAUGUGUGAAACCUAAGUUUACUGAUCUCAGAUGGUGGAACGUAGCGCCAGGGAAGCUAUCUGCUUGCACUCUAGAAUCGGUAAACCCAGGUAUCCGUGAAAUAUUGGAGUCUCCAAUUAUAACAAUUGGUUUUCUAAUUGUAAGUUCCCAUUCCAAAAUUUUCCUGGUAGAAUUUGGGUGCCUAACUGUUUCAAGGCAGGUGGAUAUAGGCCUCCUGACAGGUAAAUUAAUCACCGGGGUAGAAAAGGAAACCCCCGUGUAGGCCUCAGCUGGUAUAAAUUCCACUGUUUUACUCCGACCUGAACCAAGAGGGGAAGUCCCACGAAGGGAGUAGCAGCCGGGGAACUGGAGCGGCGGCAACGUGGGGCCCUCCUGGGGGCUCAGACAAGGACGUAUUCAGGAAAAGUUCCGUUUUGUCGUCACUUAUCAUUUCUCCCCCCCCCCUCUCGGGUCCCAAGGGCAGCCGCACAUGGGUCCCGCUCCCCUCCAACUCCGGGUUCCUCCUGGCCAGAGUCAGAAGCAAUAGUAUUACUACAUUGUAGGACAACAUUACUGUAUAAGGACCUCUUAGGACUAUGAAGAAGAGCAGGCCUCACCUGUGUUUGUUUCCAAAUAUCCACCCCCCCUGAGACCAACUCUGUGGUUAAUGGAUCUCCAGCAAGAGCUUGGGGUCUAGGGGAAUGUGUUUCAGCCGUAACCAAAAUAGUUUCCCCCCCCGGGGGACCAAAUCCAGCUCUAGAGCUGAUAGACUUGGAGACCUCCUAGGGGGGCUCCUCUUAGGUCUGUUUUUAAACCCACCCUUAACUAACCCACUGGCCGGACUGCUGUUUCCCACUCCCACCACAUUACUGGGAGCUGGAGACAGGACACCCGACAAGAGCGGGAAAAGCCUCCAUGGUCAAUUGGCCUGGACCUACCACCUCACUAGCACUUGCCUUUGGAAGCAUAGCCUGUAACGUUGCCACUGAUGAUUGGGUAAACUUACGUCUAUAUCUUGCCCUUGCCCAAGCAACAGCUCGAUCAAAGGAAUUAAUAUCAAAUCUCCC
rnacentral:lncRNA from 1 species